rnacentral:rRNA from 1 species
CCUACGGGGAGCAGCAGUGGGGAAUAUUGGACAAUGGGCGAAAGCCUGAUCCAGCCAUGCCGCGUGUGUGAAGAAGGCCUUCGGGUUGUAAAGCACUUUCAGUGGGGAAGAAAGCCUUGGGGCUAAUACCCUCGAGGAGGGACAUCACCCACAGAAGAAGCACCGGCUAACUCCGUGCCAGCAGCCGCGGUAAUACGGAGGGUGCGAGCGUUAAUCGGAAUUACUGGGCGUAAAGCGCGCGUAGGCGGUCUGAUAAGCCGGUUGUGAAAGCCCCGGGCUCAACCUGGGAACGGCAUCCGGAACUGUCAGGCUAGAGUGCAGGAGAGGAAGGUAGAAUUCCCGGUGUAGCGGUGAAAUGCGUAGAGAUCGGGAGGAAUACCAGUGGCGAAGGCGGCCUUCUGGACUGACACUGACGCUGAGGUGCGAAAGCGUGGGUAGCAAACAGGAUUAGAUACCCUGGUAGUC